UUUUUUUUUUUUAUAUCAGAUGAGCAAUGUGCCAAUAUCUUAAUAAGGUUUAAGGGAGGCACAUGUUGCAUAAUAGCCUGAGCACCCAAUCAUCACACUCAUGAACUACAGAAGGAUCUUUAGCAUUUUUUUUUUUAAAACUCAGGCCACACUAGUGUCAUGGAGCCCAAGUCAGAACUCAAUAUCAGAGCCUGGAGGGAAUGCCAGGACCAAACCAGGGAUGGCAGGAGAAUGAGGAGAACUUUCUUUGGCCUGAAAACAGUCACCUGGUGAGUUCCAGAAGGACUGGCUUGAAGCUGGCUCUGGGCUUUCUAGGUGCUAGAGUCCACAGCCUUGCCCCAGGGGGCUUGGGCCACUACUGGCCCCUCCACUCGCGUCACAGUUGUAGCCCAGCCGACCGGGCUGACCCAUGUGGAACCGCCGUCUUUCCUGCGCCUCUGCUCCUGCCCCCAUCAAUGCAAACAGGCCGCACGAGUUUCCACUUCUGCCCUCCAUCACCCUCUUUAAAUUUUUUUAAUUAAUUAUCUUUUUAUUGUUUUUUUUAAGGGCCACACUCGCGGCAUAUGGAAGUUCCCAGGCUAGGGGGUGAAUUGGAGCUGCAGCUGCUGGCCUGCGCCGCAGCCACAGCCACAGCGAUGCCAGAUCUGAGCUAUGUCUGUGACCUACACCACAGCUCAGGGCAACGCCAGACGCCUGACCCACUGAGCGAAGCCAGGGAUCAAACCUGCAUCCUCAUGGAUACCAAGAUGGUUCAUUACCACUGAACAACAACCCCCCAUCAUCAUCCUCUUCGGAGCCCCUCUGCUCAUGGAGGGCCCGCCCAGGCUCCCCAGGCUCAGCGCCUGGCCUGCCUUCUCCCUGAAGCCUCCCCAGCUUGCAGUGGCCCCUCUGCAUUUGGAGCAGCCUUGUGCUAGUCCAGAGUCCUGCUCCAGAAUGACUUGUGCCUGGGUGUGAGUCCCCAGGGACUGGCGGCUACUUAGAUCACCUGUGGUGGCUCAGUUUCCUCAUCUGUAAAGUGGGGAUAAUAGUGCUACCUGCCUCUGCGGUUGUUGUGAGGACUGAAUGACCCGAUAUGGGCCAAGGACUCAGCACACUUCCGGCCACGCGGGGAACCCUAACAAACGUCAGCUACACGAACAGCCGGAUCCUCCGCUGCCUCUUACAGGCCAAGCACCACCUUAGGCACUGGGAUUAGGGAGGGGGCGGGGCUACGGGGGGAGCAAUGCUGCCAAAUCCCACCUCCCCGGGACUCAAGGGCCAGACAGCAGCCAAUCAACUCAUCCCUCCCCAAGGGCCCCCUGCUGACCUCGGGUCUCUGGACCCCAUGGUUGGAGGGGCCACCCCUGCUCUCCUGAGGGUCCAGGGCCUGCAAGUGAGGGGCUUCGGGAAGAGCUUUUUCUGCCCUUGGGCGUCCUUUAGUCAUUUUCUGGAGCUCGGUAGGCUGCGGGCACCCUCCCAGCAAGGCCGUGAGAAGCCUGCCUCCCUUGCCCACACCACCACCCAAACCUGGUGACGCUAACUCCCCAUCUCAGUCAGCAGAAAACCAGGUCUUACCUGGGGCCAGGCUGCCUUCGUCUCACUUCCACCUGCCUCGGCCACCAGCCUGGUCCUCCUGCGGCUCUCUCGGAACCUCCGCUCUGACCAGGCUGAAGAUCCUGCGGGGGUCGCCACGGCCCCGCCCUCCGCCCCGCCCCCUCUCCUUAAGGCCUGUGCCCCUGCUCUCCUCUCCCCGUGUCCUUCUCAACCUCCCUCACCUGGCCAUCUCCAGCUCCUCCUUCAGGCCCAGUCGAAGUCUCCCCUGACUCCUCCAACGAUUUCAGCAGUGAUUAUACACCCGCGAUUCUCAGCUCUGGCUACACGCUGGAAUCACCUUGGAGGGCUUUGGGAAAAAACUGUAGAGUCCAGCCCCAGCUCUCACCACCUGAAUCCAAACCGUGGGGCUGGGACCCUAUAUCCAAGGGGUUUAAAAUUCCUCCAGGCCAUUCAAAUAUGCAGGCAGGUUUGAGAUCGAUCGUCUCAUUCUAGAAGCACCUGUGCUGUGAGGGGGGUGGGAGGGGUGGGUCUGUUUUGCUGUCCCAGACCCAACCCCUCGCCCUACACGGAGCGUCUGUCAGGCACCGAUGAAAUAUUUGCUUAAUGGAUGAUACAAUCCGCUCUUGGCCCACCAGGCUCCACGCGGCCUCGGCGGCCCCAUCCUCCAGUCCCGCCGCUCCACUCUCCGCGCAGCCGCAGUACACAGAAAGGGCCAUGCUUCCUACAAGCCCCUCCCACGUGUGGUUCCUAGAUCUCGCGAUUCUUCAGGGCUCUGUUGAAAUGCUCCUUUCUGUUGUCCCUGGUGCCCGCUGGCCUCAAUCCUCUUGCCCACCUGCCCCCGCUCCCCAUCCCCCUCUCCAGACCUUUCCCUUGCUACCUCUUAUCACUCGGGAGUCACCCAUGUCUGUCCCCUCCCCCAAGGGGCAGAUGCCUCUGCUGUCCUUUACCAAAUC
rnacentral:lncRNA from 1 species